GCCUCCGUAGCUUAGUGGUGGAGCAUGCGGCUGUUAACCGCAAGGUCCUCGGUUCGAAUCCGAGCGGAGGCG
rnacentral:tRNA from 1 species